AGUGAACGCUGGCGGUAGGCCUAACACAUGCAAGUCGAACGGCGGCACAGUAAGAGCUUGCUCUUACGGGUGGCGGGUGGCGGACGGGUGAGGAAUACAUCGGAAUCUACUUUUUCGUGGGGGAUAACGUAGGGAAACUUACGCUAAUACCGCAUACGACCUCCGGUUGAAAGCAGGGGAUCUUCGGACCUUGCGCGAUUGAAUGCGCCGAUGUCGGAUUAGCUAGUUGGCGGGGUAAAGGCCCACCAAGGCGACGAUCCGUAGCUGGUCUGAGAGGAUGAUCAGCCACACUGGAACUGAGACACGGUCCAGACUCCUACGGGAGGGAGCAGUGGGGAAUAUUGGACAAAGGGCGCAAGCCUGAUCCAGCCAUACCGCGUGGGUGAAGAAGGCCUUCGGGUUGGAAAGCCCUUUUGUUGGGAAAGAAAAGCAGCAGGUUAAUACCGCGCUGUUCUGACGGUACCCUAAGAAUAAGCACCGGCUAACUUCGUG
rnacentral:rRNA from 1 species